rnacentral:rRNA from 1 species
ACGGAGGGUCCAAGCGUUAUCCGGAUUUACUGGGUUUAAAGGGUGCGUAGGUGGUCAGAUAAGUCAGUGGUGAAAUCCUGCGGCUCAACCGCAGAACUGCCAUUGAAACUGCCUGACUUGAGUGUAGUUGAGGCGGGUGGAAUGUAUCAUGUAGCGGUGAAAUGCUUAGAUAUGAUACAGAACACCAAUUGAGUAGUCAGCUCGCUAAACUAUUACUGACACUGAGGCACGAAAGCGUGGGUAUCGAACAG